ACAAACAUAGAGGAAAAUAAUAAAACUGACAUCCAGUUGAUUGAAAUAUCAUCGAAUUCUUCUCAAGAAGAUUUUAUCUAUUUAGAAGUGGACUACAUGAUAUAGUGAAUACUAUAGGUAAGAAACUUUGUUAUAUAUGGUUAAUUAGAUAAUACAAGUUUCUUUACUCACGUAAUCAUAUUUUCUUUUUUAAUAAUUUAAUUAAAAUGGGUACAUAUGGUGAGCGAAGUGUUAUCGAUACGGGAAGUAAAUACAUUGGAUGCAUUUGUACGGAAUGUCAUUGAAUUAGAAAAGAGUGAUCAUUGCAUGUUUAGACAGCCUGAAAUUGACGGAUGUUCUAAAAUAAACAUUUAUUAAGGAUUCAUUCGAUUCUUAUUACAUCAUUUCUUCAUAACGUUCAGUCGAUAAAGUAAUUUUUUCUAGCAAUAAAUUAUUUAUUAUUUAUAACGAUUAAACGAUGUAAUAGAAAUGUUUUUCCAAAUAAGAAGAAUAAUAUGGCAUAGUAUAAUUAUAAUCGUAAUCGUAAUCAUUUAAUAUGCACUCUUUCGUAUAAAAUAAUUAGGAAAAUAGAGAUAAGAUGUUUUCAAAUACGCAAAAUUGUAAAAAACUAUUAACCAAUUUUUAAAAUUUAGAUAUGACAGAAGAAUAUUCUAUUCAAAUUCGAGAAAAAAUUUUAUUGCAUGAAUUAUAUAGGACAUUGAAAUUGUACGAUAGUGAAGAAAUGAAGGCAGAAAUCGGUAGUAAUAACUUAUAUCUUCACUGCAGAAAUAACCAAAAGAAUGAAGAGGAUGUCAAAGUCUAAAAAACAAUGAUGAACAGCAACUGUUGCACAUCGCUGUCGGUCGUGGUGGAUUAGGAUUAUGUGUAAGACAAUCCAAGGAUGAUAGUAAACAAUAUGGGAAAGGUGCUACCCUCCCAUCCUGAAAGAUCAAUUAAUUCUGACUUAUCGAUUACCAGACAUAUAAAUAUUGCAAUUGAUAAAAAGAAAAAUAAAUUGAUGAAAUCUUAAUUCCAACAAAUCCUAAUGUUCGGGAUGACGCAUAUUUUAUGUCCUAAAAAGUAGACUAAAAACAUUUGAUUUUUGGAAGAACUGGUAAUACUGGCUGUAGAUCGAAAAAAGAAGUUACGAUAAUGACUGAUUUGGUGGCAAUUGUAGUGAUUGUUUAGCAGGAGGUGAAAGUGAAUGUUAUAUGAGUUACAGUGGAUAUUCUUAUGUUGUUUUUAUUCUACUACACGUUCACUUUCAGUUUAUGAAUCCUAAAUCUGGUGAAGUUUACAUAAUAGUUACCACAAGAGGUUGUGGUUGCAAUUUUCGUUGUGUUGUUCCUGAUUUAUAUCUAACAACAAAGUUCUUGUGUCUACCAGCUUGGAUCCUCAGCAGUGAUUCCAGAUCGUGUAUCAUCCCUGAUAAUUCAAAGGUUACCAAGCAUUUAUAAUUUUGUUAAUAAUCGCUAGUACGAUUUUAUUACUGACUUUCACCGGAUUUUGUCUGCUGCUUUGUAA